rnacentral:rRNA from 1 species
UACGUAGGGCGCAAGCGUUGUCCGGAAUUAUUGGGCGUAAAGAGCUCGUAGGCGGCUUGUCACGUCGGGUGUGAAAGCCCGGGCUUAACCCCGGGUCUGCAUUCGAUACGGGCUAGCUAGAGUGUGGUAGGGAGGAUCGGAAUUCCUGGUGUAGCGGUGAAAUGCGCAGAUAUCAGGAGGAACACCGGUGGCGAAGGCGGCCAGCUGGGCCGUCCCUGACGCUGACGGCGCGAAG